AACGCUAGCUACAGGCUUAACACAUGCAAGUCGAGGGGCAGCAUGAACUUAGCUUGCUAAGUUUGAUGGCGACCGGCGCACGGGUGAGUAACGCGUAUCCAACCUUCCGUACACUCAGGAAUAGCCUUUCGAAAGAAAGAUUAAUACCUGAUGGUAUGAUGAGAUUGCAUGAAAUCAUCAUUAAAGAUUCAUCGGUGUACGAUGGGGAUGCGUUCCAUUAGAUAGUAGGCGGGGUAACGGCCCACCUAGUCGACGAUGGAUAGGGGUUCUGAGAGGAAGGUCCCCCACAUUGGAACUGAGACACGGUCCAAACUCCUACGGGAGGCAGCAGUGAGGAAUAUUGGUCAAUGGGCGCGAGCCUGAACCAGCCAAGUAGCGUGAAGGAUGAAGGUCCUACGGAUUGUAAACUUCUUUUAUAAGGGAAUAAAGUCACCUACGUGUAGGUGUUUGUAUGUACCUUAUGAAUAAGCAUCGGCUAACUCCGUGCCAGCAGCCGCGGUAAUACGGAGGAUGCGAGCGUUAUCCGGAUUUAUUGGGUUUAAAGGGAGCGUAGACGGGUCGUUAAGUCAGCUGUGAAAGUUUGAGGCUCAACCUUAAAAUUGCAGUUGAUACUGGCGUCCUUGAGUNCGNNUGAGGCAGGCGGAAUUCGUGGUGUAGCGGUGAAAUGCUUAGAUAUCACGAAGAACUCCGAUUG
rnacentral:rRNA from 1 species